AGAAUGAGCUAAUUGCUGCAAAUGCCAAUUUGUAGAGGAAAGUCCACGCUCACACUUUCUGAAAUGAAAGUAAGGUUUGUGUUAAAGGAAAAAAUAACUUUAAGUAGUUUUUUCAAACUAACGGCUGACAAAAACCUAAGUCUUAAAUAAGUGAAAUUACUUAAGAUAAGGUUCUAGUCUGUAAAAGUGCCAUAGAGACGAGUGUUAAGGAAACUUAACAAGUGGAACGCGGUAAACCCCACAAGUGAGAAACCCAAAUUUUGGUAGGGGAAUUUAUUUUCUGAAAAAGAACAGAAAAUAAAAUUGGUUGGUUAGUUUAGUUAUUAACUAGCUGAUAGAUAAAUAAUUAGCACUUGCUUUGCAAGUACAGAACGUGGCUUAUGAUU
rnacentral:RNase_P_RNA from 1 species